GUUACUUUGGCCGAGUGGUUAAGGCGUGUGCUUGCUAUGUACAUGGAAUUUUUUCGCGAGAGAUCGAAUCUCUUAGGCGAUA
rfam:Gossypium raimondii chromosome 9, whole genome shotgun sequence.